AACCACCAGGUCCCUUUCCCAUCAGAUCCAAAUAUUGGCCUGAGUGGCUAAAAAAUGAAGAAAAGUCUAAGUAAAGUACACUUGAAGUUUUUAGUGACACUCAUGUUAAUUUUAAACAUAU
rnacentral:snoRNA from 1 species